ACAUGCCUACAACAUAGUUUUAAUGCACUCGAUCCCAUUAGAAAUAUGUAGUUAAGCACGCUCGGGCUAGAGUAGUACUGAGAUGGGUGACCGCCCAGGAAUUCCUAGUGUUUUACAUGCC
rnacentral:rRNA from 1 species